rnacentral:rRNA from 1 species
CGGACGGGUGAGUAAUGUCUGGGAAACUGCCCGAUGGAGGGGGAUAACUACUGGAAACGGUAGCUAAUACCGCAUAACGUCGCAAGACCAAAGAGGGAGACCUUCGGGCCUCUUGCCAUCGGAUGUGCCCAGAUGGGAUUAGCUAGUAGGUGGGGUAACGGCUCACCUAGGCGACGAUCCCUAGCUGGUCUGAGAGGAUGACCAGCCACACUGGAACUGAGACACGGUCCAG